UCUUGUGAAUGCAGUUUGCAUGAAUUAUUGAUGUUAUAAUAUUAAGUAUAUUAUUGAGAAUUGUUUUAUGUGAAGAGAUAUGAUAAAGAUAAUAUUUCAAUUUGCACACAGUUUUUAUAUUAUAUAUUUUAAGUCAUAAAAGUAAAAUGACAAUACGGAAAAGACGUGUGCAAUUAAGCCUGCAAAGAAUGCUGUCUAUCCACUGGUGAAAACAGAAAAUAAAUAUGCUGUCUAUCCUUAUGUGAAACUAUAAAAUAAAUAUAUGUCUAUCCAGAGGUGAAAAUAUAAAAUAAAUAUGCUGUCUAUCCAGAGGUGAAAAUAUAAAAUAAAUAUGCUGUCUAUCCAGAGGUGAAAAUAUAAAAUAAAUAUACUGUCCAUCCAGAGGUGAAAAUAUAAAAUAAAUAUGCUGUCUAUCCAGAGGUGAAAAUAUAAAAUAAAUAUAUCUCAAUCCAGAGGUGAAAAUAUAAAAUAAAUAUACUGUCCAUCCAGAGGUGAAAAUAUAAAAUAAAUGUCUAUCCAGAGGUGAGAACUAAAUAUACUGUCCAUCCAGAGGUGAGAACUAAAUAUACUGUCCAUCCAGAGGUGAGAACUAAAUAUGUUGUCUAUCCAGAGGUGAGAACUAAAUAUACUGUCCAUCCAGAGGUGAGAACUAAAUAUGCUGUCUAUCCAGAGGUGAGAACUAAAUAUGCUGUCUAUCCAGAGGUGAGAACUAAAUAUGCUGUCUAUCCAGAGGUGAGAACUAAAUAUGCUGUCUAUCCAGAGGUGAGAACUAAAUAUCUGUCUAUCCAGAGGUGAAAAUAUAAAAUAAAUAUAUCUCAAUCCAGAGGUGAAAAUAAGAAAUAAAAUUGCUGUCCAUCGAGUGGUGAAAACGGAAAUUAGUGGCGAAACGGAAAUGACGUAGGCGGUCUAUCCACUGGU